AUUGAACGCUGGCGGUAUGCUUAACACAUGCAAGUCGAACGGAAGCAGGCCUUCGGGCGCUGACGAGUGGCGGACGGGUGCGUAAUGCAUAGGAAUCUGCCUAUUAGUGGGGGCUAACGUGGGGAAACUCACGCUAAUACCGCAUACGAUCUACGGAUGAAAGCUGGGGACCUUCGGGCCUGGCGCUAAUAGAUGAGCCUAUGUUGGAUUAGCUAGUUGGUAGGGUAAAGGCCUACCAAGGCGACGAUCCAUAGCUGGUCUGAGAGGAUGAUCAGCCACACUGGGACUGAGACACGGCCCAGACUCCUACGGGAGGCAGCAGUGGGGAAUAUUGGACAAUGGGCGAAAGCCUGAUCCAGCAAUACCGCGUGUGUGAAGAAGGCCUGAGGGUUGUAAAGCACUUUCAAUGGGAAGGAAUACCUGCCGGUUAAUACCCGGUAGACUGACAUUACCCAUACAAGAAGCACCGGCUAACUCCGUG
rnacentral:rRNA from 1 species